rnacentral:rRNA from 1 species
UACGUAGGGUGCAAGCGUUAAUCGGAAUUACUGGGCGUAAAGCGUGCGCAGGCGGUUAUGCAAGACAGAUGUGAAAUCCCCGGGCUCAACCUGGGAACUGCAUUUGUGACUGCAUAGCUAGAGUACGGUAGAGGGGGAUGGAAUUCCUCGUGUAGCAGUGAAAUGCGUAGAUAUGCGGAGGAACACCGAUGGCGAAGGCAAUCCCCUGGACCUGUACUGACGCUCAUGCACGAAAGCGUGGGGAGCAAACGGG